rnacentral:rRNA from 1 species
UACGAGGGAUGCAAGCGUUAUCCGGAAUUAUUGGGCGUAAAGCGUUUGUAGGCGGGCGAGUGUGUUUAAUGUUAAAUCUUAAAGCUCAACUUUGAAAUUGCGUUAAAAACUGCUUGUCUUGAGUAUGGUAGGGGUAAAGGGAAUUCCCAGUGUAGCGGUGAAAUGCGUAGAUAUUGGGAAGAACACUAAACAGCGAAGGCACUUUACUAGGCUAAUACUGACGCUGAGAAACGAAAGGUAAGGUAGCGAAACGGAUUAGAUACCCGUGUAGUCUUACCCGUAAACUAUGGACACUAAACGGUAAAUUUUUAAUUUACUGUUAAAGCUAACGCGUUAAGUGUCCCGCCUGGGGAGUAUGCUUGCAAAAGUGAAACUCAAAGGAAUUGACGGGGGCCCGCACAAGCGGUGGAGCAUGUGGUUUAAUUCGACGGUACACGAAGAACCUUACCAGGAUUUGACAUGCUAGAUAGUUGCUUGAAAGAGUAACGUGCCGUAAGGAAUCUAGACACAGGUGGUGCAUGGCUGUCGUCAGUUCGUGUUGUGAAAUGUUGGGUUAAGUCCCGCAACGAACGCAACCCUUGUCUUUAGUUAUUUUCUAAAGAGACUGCCUGUAAUAAACAGGAGGAAGGUAAGGAUGAGGUCAAGUCAUCAUGCCCCUUAUGUCCUGGGCUACACACGUGCUACAAUGGGAAAGACAAUGAGCUGCAAAUCUGUAAAUUUAAGCAAAUCUCUUAAACUUUCUCGUAGUUCGGAUUGUGGGCUGCAACUCGCCCACAUGAAGUUGGAAUCGCUAGUAAUCGCCAGUCAGCUAUAUGGCGGUGAAUCCGUUCCCGGGCC